UGGGGUGUGGCUCAGCGGUAGAGCACUUGCCUCACAUGUGUGAGGCGCUGGGUUUGAUCCUCAGCUCCACAU
rfam:Ictidomys tridecemlineatus contig040568, whole genome shotgun sequence.